UACGUAGGGGGCAAGCGUUGUCCGGAUUUAUUGGGCGUAAAGAGCGUGUAGGCGGUUCGGUAGGUCCGUUGUGAAAACUCGAGGCUCAACCUCGAGACGCCGAUGGAAACCAUCGAACUAGAGUCCGGAAGAGGAGAGUGGAGUUCCUGGUGUAGCGGUGAAAUGCGCAGAUAUCAGGAAGAACACCCGUGGCUAAGGCGGCUCUCUAGUACGGUACUGACGCUGAGACGCGAAAGCGUGGGGAGCGAACAGG
rnacentral:rRNA from 1 species